ACUGAGUGGCGGACGGGUGAGUAACGCGUGGGUAACCUGCCCUGUACAGGGGGACAACAGUUAGAAAUGACUGCUAAUACCGCAUAAGCGCACAGGACCGCAUGGUCCGGUGUGAAAAACUCCGGUGGUACAGGAUGGACCCGCGUCUGAUUAGGUAGUUGGCGGGGUAACGGCCCACCAAGCCGACGAUCAGUAGCCGACCUGAGAGGGUGAACGGCCACAUUGGGACUGAGACACGGCCCAAACUCCUACGGAAGGCAGCAG
rnacentral:rRNA from 1 species